CCUACGGGAGGCAGCAGUGAGGAAUAUUGGUCAAUGGACGAGAGUCUGAACCAGCCAAGUAGCGUGAAGGAUGACUGCCCUAUGGGUUGUAAACUUCUUUUAUAUGGGAAUAAAACGUUCCACGUGUGGGAUUUUGUAUGUACCAUAUGAAUAAGGAUCGGCUAACUCCGUGCCAGCAGCCGCGGUAAUACGGAGGAUCCGAGCGUUAUCCGGAUUUAUUGGGUUUAAAGGGAGCGUAGGUGGAUUGUUAAGUCAGUUGUGAAAGUUUGGGGCUCAACCGUAAAAUUGCAGUUGAAACUGGCAGUCUUGAGUACAGUAGAGGUGGGCGGAAUUCGUGGUGUAGCGGUGAAAUGCUUAGAUAUCACGAAGAACUCCGAUUGCGAAGGCAGUUCACUGGACUGCAACUGACACUGAGGCUCGAAAGUGUGGGUAUCAAACAGGAUUAGAUACCCUAGUAGUC
rnacentral:rRNA from 1 species